rnacentral:rRNA from 1 species
GGCUAACUCCGUGCCAGCAGCCGCGGUAAUACAGAGGGUGCGAGCGUUAAUCGGAUUUACUGGGCGUAAAGCGUGCGUAGGCGGCUUAUUAAGUCGGAUGUGAAAUCCCCGAGCUUAACUUGGGAAUUGCAUUCGAUACUGGUGAGCUAGAGUAUGGGAGAGGAUGGUAGAAUUCCAGGUGUAGCGGUGAAAUGCGUAGAGAUCUGGAGGAAUACCGAUGGCGAAGGCAGCCAUCUGGCCGAAUACUGACGCUGAGGUACGAAAGCAUGGGGAGCAAACAGGAUUAGAUACCCUGGUAGUCCAUGCCGUAAACGAUGUCUACUAGCCGUUGGGGCCUUUGAGGCUUUAGUGGCGCAGCUAACGCGAUAAGUAGACCGCCUGGGGAGUACGGUCGCAAGACUAAAACUCAAAUGAAUUGACGGGGGCCCGCACAAGCGGUGGAGCAUGUGGUUUAAUUCGAUGCAACGCGAAGAACCUUACCUGGCCUUGACAUACUAGAAACUUUCCAGAGAUGGAUUGGUGCCUUCGGGAAUCUAGAUACAGGUGCUGCAUGGCUGUCGUCAGCUCGUGUCGUGAGAUGUUGGGUUAAGUCCCGCAACGAGCGCAACCCUUUUCCUUACUUGCCAGCAUUUCGGAUGGGAACUUUAAGGAUACU